rnacentral:rRNA from 1 species
CACGUAGGGUGCGAGCGUUGUCCGGAAUUAUUGGGCGUAAAGAGCUCGUAGGCGGUGUGUCGCGUCGGCCGUGAAAACCUGCAGCUUAACUGUGGGCUUGCGGUCGAUACGGGCAUCACUGGAGUUCGGCAGGGGAGACUGGAAUUCCUGGUGUAGCGGUGGAAUGCGCAGAUAUCAGGAGGAACACCGAUGGCGAAGGCAGAUCUCUGGGCCGUAACUGACGCUGAGGAGCGAAAGCAUUGGGAGCGAACAGG